rnacentral:rRNA from 1 species
AUUGAACGCUGGCGGCAGGCCUAACACAUGCAAGUCGAACGGAGCGUCAGACGGGUGAGUAAUACCUAGGAAUCUGCAUGGUAGUGGGGGAUAACGUACGGCAGCGGGCGCUGAUACCGCAUACUCUCAGAUGAGCCUAGGUCGGAUUAGCUAGUUGGUGGGGUAAAGGCCUACCAAGGCGACGAUCUGUAACUGGUCUGAGAGGAUGAUCAGUCACACUGGACCUGAGAAACGGUCCAGAUCCCUAGGGGAGGAAGCAGUGGGGAAUAUUCGCCAAGGGGCGAAAUCCUACUCAAGCCAGCCCUCGGGUGUGAAGAAGGUCUUCGGAUUGUAAAGGACGUUAAGCUGGGAGGCGUUACCGAAAUAAUAAGCACCGGCUAACUUCGUGCCAGCAGCCGCGGUAAUUC